AGAACGAACGCUGGCGGCAGGCCUAACACAUGCAAGUCGAACGCUCCGCAAGGGGAGUGGCAGACGGGUGAGUAACACGUGGGAACAUACCCUUCGGUUCGGAAUAACUCAGGGAAACUUGAGCUAAUACCGGAUACGUCCUGGCGGAGAAAGAUUUAUCGCCGAAGGAUUGGCCCGCGUCCGAUUAGCUAGUUGGUGAGGUAACGGCUCACCAAGGCGACGAUCGGUAGCUGGUCUGAGAGGAUGAUCAGCCACACUGGGACUGAGACACGGCCCAGACUCCUACGGGAGGCAGCAGUGGGGAAUAUUGGACAAUGGGCGCAAGCCUGAUCCAGCCAUGCCGCGUGAGUGAUGAAGGCCCUAGGGUUGUAAAGCUCUUUCGUCAGGGACGAUAAUGACGGUACCUGAAGAGAAGCCCCGGCUAACUUCGCGCCAGCAGCCGC
rnacentral:rRNA from 1 species